rnacentral:rRNA from 1 species
CACACCGCCCGUCACGCCAUGGAAGUUGGAGCGCCCGAAGUCCGUGCGCCAACCUUAGGGAGGCAGCGGCCGAAGGCGAGCUCGAUGACUGGGGCG